rnacentral:rRNA from 1 species
AAUAGAUACCCAGGUAGUCCACGCCGUAAACGAUGAGUGCUAGGUGUCACGGGCUUUGACCCUCGUGGUGCCGAAGCUAACGCGUUAAGCACUCCGCCUGGGGAGUACGGCCGCAAGGCUAAAACUCAAAGGAAUUGACGGGGGGCCCGCACAAGCGGUGGAGCAUGUGGUUUAAUUCGACGCAACGCGCAGAACCUUACCUGGGCUAGAAAACACAGGAACCUGGGUGAAAACUCGGGGUGCCCUUCGGGGAACCUGUGGUUAGGUGCUGCAUGGCUGUCGUCAGCUCGUGUCGCGAGAUGUUGGGUUAAGUCCCGCAGCGAGCGCAACCCCUGCCGUUAGUUGCCAGCAUUCAGUUGGGCACUCUAACGGGACUGCCGACCUUUAAGUCGGAGGAAGGUGGGGAUGACGUCAAGUCCUCAUGGCCCCUAUGUCCAGGGCUACACACGUGCUACAAUGGUCGGUACAAAGGGUCGCGAACCCGCGAGGGGGAGCCAAUCCCAAAAAGCCGACCUCAGUACGGAUAGGAGUCUGCAACUCGACUCCUUGAAGGCGGAAUCG